GAACUUAACCAUUUCAUUCCGCCCGGGAAUUACGGACACCAGUCUAAAAACCAAAGGACUUGGCGGUGCUUUAAACCCCCCUAGAGGAGCCUGUCCUAUAACCGAUGACCCCCGUUUAACCUCACCCUCCCUCGCUCGAUCCACCUAUAUACCGCCGCCGUCAGCUUACCCUGAGAAGGGAUAGAAGUAUGCAAAAUUGGCAAAGCCCCAAACGUCAGGUCGAGGUGUAGUGCAUGAGAGGGGAAGAGAUGGGCUACAUUUGCUAACCAGAAGCAAAUACGGAUGUAUUAUUGAAACCGAUACUGAAGGAGGAUUUAGUAGUAAGAGGGGAGCAGAGUGCCCCGCUGAAACCGGCCCUAAAGCGCGCACACACCG
rnacentral:rRNA from 1 species